rnacentral:rRNA from 1 species
CCUACGGGUGGCUGCAGUGGGGAAUAUUGGGCAAUGGACGCAAGUCUGACCCAGCAACGCCGCGUGAAGGAAGAAGGCUUUCGGGUUGUAAACUUCUUUUAAGGGGGAAGAGCAGAAGACGGUACCCCUUGAAUAAGCCACGGCUAACUACGUGCCAGCAGCCGCGGUAAUACGGAGGUGGCAAGCGUUGUCCGGAUUCACUGGGUGUAAAGGGCGUGCAGCCGGAGGGACAAGGCAGAUGUGAAAUCCACGGGCUCAACCCGUGAACUGCAUUUGAAACUGUUUCCCUUGAGUGUCGGAGAGGUAAUCGGAAUUCCUGGUGUAGGAGUGAAAUCCGUAGAUAUCUGGAGGAACAUCAGUGGCGAAGGCGACUAUCUGGCACAUAACUGACGCUGAGGAGCGAAAGCGUGGGUAGCAAACAGGAUUAGAUACCCUUGUAGUC